UACAGAGGUCCCGAGCGUUGUUCGGAUUCACUGGGCGUAAAGGGUGCGUAGGUGGUGGAGUAAGUCGGAUGUGAAAUCUCGGAGCUCAACUCCGAAAAUGCAUUGGAAACUACUCUGCUUGAGGGUCGGAGGGGGGACUGGAAUUCUCGGUGUAGCAGUGAAAUGCGUAGAUAUCGAGAGGAACACCAGUGGCGAAGGCGAGUCCCUGGACGACACCUGACACUGAGGCACGAAAGCUAGGGGAGCAAACAGG
rnacentral:rRNA from 1 species